UCUGAGGUCAGUGUCACCGGGCUGCCAACAGGCAUUGACACGUCAAUGAUGCAGGCCCUUGAAAUGCAGCAAAGCAUGGAGCCAUCACAAGAACCGGGCCCAUCAAGUUUGCCGCCUGAACCAUCUGCAGCUGCUACUCAGGAUAGCCCGGCGGAUCAAACACCAUUCCCAUCCGCAGCACCUGCUCCGUCAGCAUCCCUGCAGGAGAGAAGAUUGCAACUCACAAUUGAUGUGUUUGAACAACAAAAAAAAGUCCUUUCCCUUCAGGAGGAGUACUACCGCCUUAAAAUUGAA